CCCCGGAAGGAGCCUGGAUCCCAGUGCCCAUGGGCCAAUGGAGGCUCUCCCUGAGCCUGUGGUCUGGCAGCUGGGAUGAAGGUAGAGGCCCAGGCUGAGGUCAGGUGGGUGGAUGGUGCCAGAGGCCCAGGCUGAGGACAGGUGGGUGGGUGGUACCGGCCAUGGAUGGAGAGGCAGGUGAGCAGAUAGCUUCUAAGGAAUGCCUUGGGUUCUUCGGGAGUGGACCUGCCACCCCAGAAGCCACCUGGCAACACGAAAUCUCC